rnacentral:rRNA from 1 species
UACGUAGGGUGCGAGCGUUAAUCGGAAUUACUGGGCGUAAAGCGUGCGCAGGCGGUUCGUUGUGUCGGCGGUGAAAGCCCCGGGCUCAACCUGGGAAUGGCCGUUGAAACUGGCGAACUGGAGUGUGGCAGAGGGGGGGUGGAAUUCCGCGUGUAGCAGUGAAAUGCGUAGAGAUGCGGAGGAACACCGAUGGCGAAGGCAGCCCCCCUGGGGCUGACACUGACGCUCAGGCACGAAAGCGUGGGGAGCAAACAGG